rnacentral:rRNA from 1 species
GACGAACGCUGGCGGCGUGCCUAAUACAUGCAAGUUGAGCGCUGAAGGUUGGUACUUGUACCAACUGGAUGAGCAGCGAACGGGUGAGUAACGCGUGGGGAAUCUGCCUUUGAGCGGGGGACAACAUUUGGAAACGAAUGCUAAUACCGCAUAAAAACUUUAAACACAAGUUUUAAGUUUGAAAGAUGCAAUUGCAUCACUCAAAGAUGAUCCCGCGUUGUAUUAGCUAGUUGGUGAGGUAAAGGCUCACCAAGGCGAUGAUACAUAGCCGACCUGAGAGGGGGGUCGGCCACAUUGGGACUGAGACACGGCCCAAACUCCUACGGGAGGCAGCAGUAGGGAAUCUUCGGGAAUGGACGAAAGUCUGACCGAGAAACGCCGCGUGAGUGAAGAAGGUUGUCGGAUCGUAAAACUCUGUUGGUAGAGAAGAACGUUGGUGAGAGUGGAAAGCUCAUCAAGUGACGGUAACUACCCAGAAAGGGACGGCUAACUACGUG